UUAUUACUCUCGCCGUUCGGGAAUACUGGUCUUAAAUAUGGUUGUAUCUAGACUUAUUUUAGUUAUAGAUACAUCCAUUUUAUCCAUUUUUUAAGACAAGUAUUUUCGAACGGAGGGAGUCCUAC
rnacentral:pre_miRNA from 1 species